GUGAGUGACCACCAUGGACAAGUGUGUGUUUGUCUGUGGACACGGUCGUUCCCCUGUCCCCUGACUGCCCCCCACUUGUUACCGGGAGGUCUGGAGGUUGGGUGGGGCCUGUCCUGCCUCCCUCAGCCCCUGCUCCUUCUCUCUGAACCUCUGGUGUCGGAGCCCACAGAGUCCUCCAAAGGAUGUGGGUCUCAUGGGAGCUGCAGGGGGCCCCCAAGCUGGGACCCUGCUGACCUCAUGACCUUUAGAAAUGGAUGGACAGCCUCAACUCAGACGGAAGAUUCACUCCUGAACCAGAACUUCUCAGGGCCUUUAAUGAUUCUCAUACUUUUGUGAUUCUCAUAUAAGGAAUAAGGU
rnacentral:lncRNA from 1 species